CAUUUUAGGAAAGUUGGGUAAGAUCAUUUUAAUACCUUUCUGUUUGACACUUUUAAAUGUUCUCUCUUCUUUACAUCUCUUCAAUUUGAUAGGUGCUUGACAGUAUCUAUCUGUGAAUUUGAAGCUGCAGCUUGAAGUGUAAAAAAAUUCAAACUUCAAAGUAUUUGAGUAGCUUUCUCGAUGCCCUCUACACUGAGAAUCCAUGGUGGUGCUACUAGCAAGAACCUCCCUGUAUUCCUGGCAAAGAUUAAGAACCAACAGGAUGAUAGCAGGAGAGAAGUGCUGCAGGAUGCUAGAUCUGAGCCAGAUGUCUAAGCUAACAGAUUAUCAAUAUCUUGGUAAGUUAAGGGCAAUAUCACAAAGUGCCAUAAACUGCGUGGUUUAUAAACAACAGAAAUUUAUUUCUCACAGUUCUAGUGUCUGGAAAGGCCACAGUAGGGCAAGAUUUAGUGUCUAGU
rnacentral:lncRNA from 1 species